rnacentral:rRNA from 1 species
GACGAACGUUGGCGGCGUGCUUAAUACAUGCAAGUCCACUGAAGCAGUGGUAGCAAUCUCGCUGUGGAGGUGGCGCACGGGUGAGUAACACGUAGGUAAUCUGCCUUCAGGUCUGGCAUAACUCCGGGAAACCGGGGCUAAUAGCAGAUGAUGCAGCGGCUCGACAUCGAGACAGUUGUUAAAGCUAUGGCGCCUGAAGAUGAGCCUGCGUCUGAUUAGCUAGUUGGCGGGGUAACGGCCCACCAAGGCAACGAUCAGUAGCUGGUCUGAGAGGAUGAUCAGCCACACUGGAACUGAGACACGGUCCAGACUCCUACGGGAGGCAGCAGUAAGGAAUAUUGCUCAAUGGGAGAAAUCCUGAAGCAGCAACGCCGCGGGAGGGACGAAGGGCUUUUGCUUGUAAACCUCUGUAGUGAGAGAAAAAAAUCCCAAUCUUUGGGACAUGAUGGUAUCUCAAAAGUAAGCCCCGGCUAACUACGUG